AUUGAACGCUGGCGGCAGGCCUAACACAUGCAAGUCGAGCGGAGCGGCGGACGCGUGAGGAAUGCCUAUGAAUUGGCCCGUGAGUGGGGGAUAACGUCAGGAAACGGGCCCUAUUACUGCAUACUAUCACACGAGCCUAGGUCGGAUUAGCUUGUUGGGUGGGUAAAGGCCUACCAAGGCGACGACCCGUAACUGGUCCGAGAGGAUGAUCAGUCACACUGGAACUGAGCCACGGGCCAGACUCCUACGGGAGGCAGCAGUGGGGAAUAUUGGGCAAUGGGCGAAAGCCUGAUCCAGCCAUGCCGCGUGUGUGAAGAAGGUCUUCGGAUUGUAAAGCACUUUAAGUUGGGAGGCGUUACCAACAGAGUAAGCACCGGCUAACUUCGUGUCAGCCGCCGCGGUAAUUC
rnacentral:rRNA from 1 species